GCCUGCGUGCUCGCGGACCGGCUUUUCCGCCCUGACCGUGCUCCUGAUGCCUCCCGGCCGCCGUAGGCGAAGGUUCGCGGAAGCGGCGAGCAGGCGCUCACCUGAGCUGACUCAGAAAUUGGGAUGAUUUCUCUGUGGAUCCUAUAAGGAGCCUGGAGAUGGUGAAGAGAAUGCCUUGACCAUCAGGAGACAGCUUACCUUAUUGAAUCUUGAUCACUUCUUCUGACCACUUUGGAUAUUAAAAGAACAAGAUAUGCUGAUAAGGUGCCUCAUUCUUGUAACUGCUGGAGAUACGAUGAUGAUGACACAGAUUCUGUCUUCAAGAAGCCCAUAAAAAAGUGGGAAAAAGAUGUGACUGCGGAUAAAGACCAUGAGAAGGACUUUUUACACAAGGUAUUUGCUUAAGUGUUGAAGGGCCUAGAAGAGAGAGUGACCAGUGUCCAAAACUAUUUGUGAAUUGCAUUCACAUACAGCGCCUGUUUUGAUUCUCAGAGCACCCAGAUGGCUGUUUUUUGGUGGUUUUCUUAAAGUAUGGUAAGACAAAUGCCCCAGUUGCCAGCAAGUUCUACUUCAUCAUGCUAUAGGCUUCUGUGAAUAGGACAAGUAUACCACCAUCAAGAAGCAAGCAGCUUGCUUGUGUUUCAGAGGAACCACCCGCGGAAGAAUGUCUUCUUGGAUUAAAACUGGUAUUGCCAUGUUCCAUUCUAGAAUGUCCAAAUGCCACCCUUCUGAAGAUGUUUAGUUCAAGAGUUUCCAUUUUCAUAUUAAGUUUCUAUGUCCAUACUUAGUGGGAUGAUUUGAAGUUGUAAAAAAAUCCUAAACUUCUCCGAUUGUAGGAAUGAUAACUGGAAUAUUAUUUUAAGAGCAAAUACAUGUACAUUCCUAAUGUUGCUUGAAUGGGAAUUAUGAAGAAGAAGAAGAAGAAAAAGAAAAAAAAAGAAAAACAAACCCAUGAGAGUUUGGGUUGCUAUUUCUGACCAAGCUGGAAUUGUGAAAUACCAGGAGUCCCAUAGGAAAUCUUAUCUCACCGGAAGACGAUCAUGGUCUCUUGGCCAAAGAACGGGUAUGCAUUUUUGUGUAAAUAAAACUUGCAGACCCAGACAGAGGGCUGGGCUACCUUGCAGCUUAGCCUGCCAUUUAUUAUCAUUCACAAGGUGGUGUUAGAUGCUCAGCUUUAAAAAGAACUGACUUUUCAGCAGUAUUUUUACCCUUGAGAGUAUAUAGAGAGAGCUCUGUGUUGUAUAUUAAUCAGAGCUUUCACGACUUGCUUUGAAUGGUAUUCGAAAUGUGUCUGGAAGAAUAGUGAAUGAACUAUGCCCAAAGUGUGCUCUAUUAUUUAUUACUCAGGAGCCUUUCCAUCUGAGACGUAGGCUGAAAUUAAAGACACCAAGUACCUGUCUUUACUAACUCAAUGUUUUUCCAGUUUCUGCUCCCUGUGUACUCACCCCACCUGCAAAGGAUUCCAGGAUUUGAUGCCUCAUAAGAGUCAGUCAGUUUUUUUUUUUUUGAGACAGAGUCUCACUCUUUCACCCAGGCG